GCAACCUCCUAGAACUUUUACUUUUAAAGGAUGCAUGCGUUUGUACAAGAACUAGCCUACAAUGGAAUAGUCUAAUGUUUAAAGCUUAAUGUUAAGAAAUUCUAUUUUCAUGUCUUUUGUAAUUCUGUAAUUAAAGUUAUUUUGUUGGGGGAGUCACAGCAAACUGAUUUAUCUAGAGUUACACUGUAUGAUGUUUAGAAGAAAGACUGAGGAAGUGAUAAAAAUAUAAAAAUAAAUAUGCAAUUACCGACAUGGAAAACACCACUAGGAUUUCAGUCAAUCACUAUAUGAUUAAAAUAUUUACCUAUGAUAAAAGAAACAAGGUAUUUGAUAAAGUACUGAUUUGCAUUAAGAAGUGAUGUACUGCUAAGAUAAUCAAUACUACAAUCAUUUUACUAUUUUGCAUUUAAGUUGUUUGGAAAAAGGUUUCUCACAAUCUAUUAGCCAUUUAAAAAGCCUUGGAAUGGGCUUAAAUAUUUUGAACAGAUCUAGAUUGUGAAAUAAGUCUUCAGUUUUUAGAGCCAAAAAUAAAAGAUUGAGGGUAAAGGGUAAAGGACAAUAUGGUUUAGACUUUAAAUGGAAAGAGAACAGAGACAAAGAGAAAAUGAUCUGGCAUUAUAUGCUCACAUCGAUGGCAGUAAUUAGGCUUUGCAGUAUCAUUAGAUAUGAUAACAAUCAUUUGUAGCCUUUUAUAGUGUUUCACAUGCUAAGCAUACAGAACCACAUGGUAGCAGGACCCUUAAUAUUUUUCACUGUUAUUUUUUUCUAAGGGAAUAAUAGUAUUCAAUUGUCAUGAAUUGGGGAGAUACACAACACAAAUUUGGAUUCUUAUCUCCCAUGGAGAAAAGAUGGAAUGUUUUAUGCCUUUUAACCAUCUGCAAAAUGUAUGGCAGUAGUAAAAUGCUAACAAGAUCUUGAGGUUAUUACAUCAAUAAACUCCAGGCACAGGAUUAAAAUGAUUGAUACUGAAAAACAUAGAGGUGUAGAUAUAGCCGCAACUCAAAAAGAGGGUCAUAAAACAGGAAGAAUAAAAACUUAUACAAACCACUGGACUCUUUGGACACCUGAGAUUGAGAUCCCCAUGAGUAUUACACACCAUCUUUAACUUCCUGUUACUUAACAAGUAAGUAUCUUUAUUGUGUUUUAUGUCUUUGGUAAACACAAAUAUCUUAAAAUGGUAUCUUCUCUUGAGGCUCAUUAAAUAAUGAAACAUGAUAAUUCUGUCUUUAGCAUUCUCCUGGAAAAGUCUGAAAAUGGAGUUAAAUGCUCAUUUAGGAAAAACAGUGUUUGAUAUUUCUUUGAGAUAGAUGAUUUAUUAGAUUUUAUAUUUACAUCCGUUUUUUGCCUCCAAACUUCUGUAUCUCAGGUGGAUGAUCUUUCAAAAGUGGUUGACAAAGAUGUAAACUCCUGUUCAUGUGUGCUUAGAUUGGAAAGGGGGAAUUAUAGAUUGGAUAUCAGAAUUACCUUUGUGAAAAACAGAUUUG
rnacentral:lncRNA from 1 species